rnacentral:rRNA from 1 species
GACGAACGCUGGCGGCGCGCUUAACACAUGCAAGUCGAACGGAAAGGCCUGCUUUCCCUUGUGGAUUGCGGGUACUCGAGUGGCGAACGGGUGAGUAACACGUGAGUGAUCUGCCCCCAACUUGGGUAUAAGCCUGGGAAACUGGGUCUAAUUCCCGAUAGGACUGCAGGGUGGUGCCUGUGGUGGAAAACGAUUUUCUAGUGGUUGGGGAUGAGCUCGCGGCCUAUCAGCUUGUUGGUGGGGGAAUGGCCUACCAAGGCGGCGACGGGUAGCCGGCCUGAGAGGGUGGACGGCCACAUUGGGACUGAGAUACGGCCCAGACUCCUACGGGAGGCAGCAGUGGGGAAUAUUGCACGAUGGGCGGAAGCCUGAUGCAGCGACGCCGCGUGGGGGAUGACGGCCUUCGGGUUGUAAACUCCUUUCGACCGCGAGGAAGCCACCUGGUUGGAAGGGUGGUGACGGUAGUGGUAGAAGAAGCACCGGCUAACUACGUG